GAGAGAGAGAGAGAGGGGCCACGGAAACGAACGAAAAAAAGCAUCUUGUGAGGGUUCUCUGGAGAACUCUGGGGAGAGAAGGGGGAGAAAAAUAGAGAGAAAAAAUUCUUAAUUUCCCCAGCAUCUGGAGUUAGGAUUAGGGUUUCUUCUCUCGUUCUCUACUUCCUGAAUCUAGGGUUAGAGUUUUCUCUUUUUCGUCUCCAUAUUUCCUUGCUUCCUUGAUAUUCGUUGACGAGCGGAAUCGUUUGAUUGUUUGGUGCCGGUUGAAAAGAGUUUGAUCGAUUGCUAGGGUUUGAUCGGAUUUUUUUGUUGUUGUUUUUGGGGGGUUUUUGUAUUGGGAUUGCGAAUCUAGGGUUUGCGGAUUGGUUACAGGGAUGGACGAGGCCUGGGAGAGAGCCGUGGAGACGGCCCUCGAAGGACAGGCGGACUCGUCCUCGGCGCCGCGAACCCUAACCCUAGACGGGGCGGUGAAGUGCCUCCAGGGGCGGCUUCCGCCGCCGAGGCUGCUGGAGAGGUACCAGAGCCUGGAGCACCUCUCCAUCGCCAACGUCGGGGUGUCGUCGCUGGAGAAGUUUCCACGCCUCCGGAACCUCCACAGGCUGAUACUCUCUGACAACCGGAUCGCCGGCGGCCUUGAGUUCCUGGUGGAGGCUGGGCUUGAUUCGCUCCGUGAUCUCGAUCUCUCCAACAAUCGAAUCCAGUUCCUCGAGGAUCUCGCGCCUCUCGCGCAGCUCCGGCUGGUGUCGCUGGAUCUCUACGAGUGCCCGGUCACCAGGGUCAAGGACUACCGAUCCCGGGUGUUCGGGAUGAUCAGGACGUUGAAGUAUCUCGACAAGAUGGAUGCUGAUGAGAACGAGCGUCCGGAGACGGACGACGAGGAGGAGGAUGAGGAAGAGGAGGAGGAGGACGAGGAGGACGCUGGGAGCGGCGAAGUUGAUGGUGGGGAUCGAGCCGGGAGGUCAGUGAAUGGCGUCGGGGGAAGUGCCAGAGGUGAUGCGAUUGUCGAUGUGGAUGAGGAUGAGGAGAGUGACGCCGAUGAGGAGGAGACUGAAACUGGUAGGAGUGUGGAGGCCAAUGGACUGGGCCGGGGGCCUCAUCACCAUCUAUCAAAUGGGUUCCGGGUCGCGCCAGUCGGAGCAACUUCCAUUGAUGUCGAGGACGAGGAGGAAGAAGAGGAGGACGUGGAGGACGAUGAUGAGGAGGAAGAGGAUUUGGUGGAGGAGAUCGAUGAGGAGGAAGGGGAAGAUGAUGAUGUGGUUGAGGUGCAUGAUGUUGGGGAUAGUGAUGAGGAUGCUGAUGGGGUGGAGGAGGAUGGAGAAGAGGCGGUAGAUGAAGAGGAGGUUGAUGAGGAGGAUGGGGAUGGAGAUGAAGAGGAAGAGGAAGUGGAGGAUGAAGAGGAUGAUGGUGAGCCAGGGAGCACGGGGAGGUUGAUGAGCACGGAAGGGGAGAUCGAUGGGCAUGAGCAGGGGGAGGAGGAUGAGAAUGGGGAGAUCGGCGAGGAGGAUGAGCAAGGAGUGGAGGAGGAUAGGGAGUAUGAGGAGGGUGAUGGUGAGGAUGAAGACGAGGAAGAGGAUCUUGGAACAGAAUAUCUAGUGCAGCCGAUUGUUCAACCUGUUGAUGAGACUGGAGGAAGUGAUUUUGAUGCUUGCAGCGAAGAUGAUGAGGACGAAGUUGAUGAUGAGGAGAAUAAUCACAGCAAUGGUGUCCAGCCACCCCUUCCCUCCUCUUCUCAACCCAACAAGAGGAAAAGAGAUGAAGAAGAUGAUGACAGUGUUGAGGAUCUGAGGUCUUCAAAGCAUCACUGAUGAUGAUUCAGCAGCAUUGUACAUGGAUGCUAGUAGAAGUAACAAGGGUGGGUUUUUUUUUUCUUUUUCUUUUUUGUUUUAAGUUUGUGUAGAACUUGAAGUCAGUAGUUUAAAAACUUGGAGGGAAUGCAUUGUGUAGCUUGGUUUCUUCCCUCCUUAUUUCAAAAGUUCGUUAGUGUUCUUGUCAGCGCACGGUUCCUUAUUCGACCGUUGCAUCCCUUUCAAGUGACGGUUACAUAUACAUAUACAUAUACAGGGUUUGAGUUUUCCUUCCAAAUAGCUCAGGAAGUUCAAAAACAAGUAGCCGUUGGACACUGUUUGAUUUUUGCGGACUCGGCAAUUCGCAAGCUGUUUCUCUUGGUGCUUUCUUUUUCUUGCAGGUAUUUGCGGGGCAUACGGACGGGGGGAAUUGCACAAUUUGAUGCCUUAAUGAGGGGUGGUAAGCUUCUUUAUUUUAUGACUAUCUUUGUUGCGUGUUUCACAGCUGGAUACUUAAAGUUCAUUUCUUUUGCCUCCUAUCCACCAAUCGCGAGCUAAAAAUGUCACGUUAGAACAGUCUUGAUGUAUGGGAUGACGUCUCUCUCUCUAUCUUUAAUUGUGCGGGCCUGGACGUUGCCACCCGUCCGCCAUUUCUGGCUGGAGUUCCACCGCCCGCUCGUGCUGCCCAAUCGGAUUGAAAGGAAUCGUCCAGGAGCUGUGUUUUGUCUGGAUCUAGUGCAGGAUACAGCUCAUAGGCUCAUUUGUGGUGCUGAGAUAUGAGGAAGAAAAAAAAAAUCAAUGUUUUCAGAGAUAAGGUGGCUCCAAUCUGGCAAUUGACUGUUGGAUACCCUUGGUACCCCAAUCGUGGUUGAUUGCUUUUGCUAGUUGGUGACGCAUUUCUAAACAACGGUUGUAAUGGGCCCGGUUGGAGCGGUGGUAAAGGGAGAUGAGAAGGGGUUUUGACAUUUUGCUAACAUUGGGGACCAAGAAAUGGACCAAAGAUUCGAUCGAAUCCUGUGCUGCAUCCCGUGAUGGUUUCGCUGACAAGCUUCGUCCUCUGAUUCAGGGUGUGAUCUCUGGUUCACCCACAUGAACGUGGGCUCAGAUCCAUGACAUGACAGUUUUGGCCUUGGAUGUAUCUGAGACAGGUGGAUCGCUCCACUGGCCUUUAUCCAAAAUUACCCUAAUUUAAGCCCCUUUUUUUUUAA